CAGAGCUGCAAAACUCCCACAAACCAUCGCGAAUCUUACCCGUACGGUUGCCUCGGCGCUGGCGGUCCGGAAGGCCCUCGGGCCCCCCGGAUCCUCGGGUCUCCCGCUCGCGGGAGGCUGCCCGCCGGAGGUGCCGAAAACCAAACUCUUGAUAUUUUAUGUCUCUCUGAGUAAACUUUUUAAAUAAGUCA
rnacentral:misc_RNA from 1 species